CCUACGGGUGGCAGCAGUGAGGAAUAUUGGUCAAUGGGCGCGAGCCUGAACCAGCCAAGUAGCGUGAAGGAUGAAUGCCCUACGGGUUGUAAACUUCUUUUGUCAGGGAAUAAAGUGAGGCACGUGUGCCUUUUUGUAUGUACUUUAUGAAUAAGGAUCGGCUAACUCCGUGCCAGCAGCCGCGGUAAUACGGAGGAUCCGAGCGUUAUCCGGAUUUAUUGGGUUUAAAGGGAGCGUAGAUGGGUCGUUAAGUCAGUUGUUAAAGUUUGCGGCUCAACCGUAAAAGUGCAAUUGAUACUGGCAGCCUUGAGUACAGUUGAGGCAGGCGGAAUUCGUGGUGUAGCGGUGAAAUGCAUAGAGAUCACGAAGAACCCCGAUUGCGAAGGCAGCCUACUAAGCUGCCACUGACACUGAGGCUCGAAAGUGUGGGUAUCAAACAGGAUUAGAUACCCUAGUAGUC
rnacentral:rRNA from 1 species